GCCGGGGUCGCAUAACCUGGUAGUGCGUUAGCCUGCUAAGCUAAUGCCCGCAAGGGCUUGAGGGUUCAAAUCCCUCCUCCGGCG
rnacentral:tRNA from 1 species